AAGGGAUCCAGUUCAGAUCCUUGCUUUGGAGCAAAGCUCCUCUGGACAAGUCAGUGAACUUCUCUGGGCUUGUGUUCACCUCUCAAAGGUUGGGUGGAGCUAAGCCAGCUCCCUCCAGGGUUGUGAGUUCUCGCUGGAUGGGAUCCCAGGUUAUCCCGAGGCAGUCAGCACACAUCCAGGUAUUAGAACAUAGGUGGAAGGCAGCACCCCCAAGGGAAGAACCCGAGGAGGCUCAGUUGUCCCUCAGGAGGGUGCAUGGAGAAGGGGCAGAAAGGCUGUAGAGAGAGCCAGACCCUCGGCUAUUCUAACAGGAAAUCGGCAGGCACCAUCUGAAACAGACAAAUCAAGAAAGAGCAGCAUAAGCAGAUUAUUUAGAAAUAGGAAGGUCCGUGCCAGAGAAAACAGUGAGGAGUUGAGAGUGGCUGCCUCAGGGGCAGAAAGGCCUGGGGCGGGGAGCUGUGUGUAUGUUUAAAUUUUCACAACCAUAUACAUGUAAUACUUUGAUUAAAAAUUAACUUAAUGUAAGUUUGUAAACACUGAAACUCCCGGCCCUUUGGGAAGCAUUUCCAUCUGUGCCUCCUCGGUGUUGGCAGGUUUCUCAAACUGUGGGAAGGAACACAGCAAACUUCUUAAGGUGUUUUAGAGCUUUCUGGAUGUUUGUUCAGUGUGUGUUUAUCCUAGUGGGCGCUGGCGAUACAUAGUGAAUGUAAGAUGAAUCCAUGAUUCAAAGAACAAAGACGAGGAAGAAAUCCUUCAGUGUUAUGGGGCCGUCGUGGGGCUGCACCUUCCUGGUUGUGCAUCUUUCCCAGGACGGGUUGAAGCACGGAUCUGGGUGUACCUGGUGGGCAGGAACCCAGGGGCACCCCACAGAGGAUGGGCAAGAGCGGGCCCAGGUCUGUGAAAGGCGCACGAUCAGGCAUCUCUGUGGCCAGAGCUGAGACGAAAGUACAUAAUGGGGUGAAAAACAGGGAGAAAGGAGGCUGGCAAGGACGGUGAAGAAUCCCAAAGGGACCUAGACCUUCUUGAAACACUGGGCAGCCACGGGAGGUCUUUGAACAGGAGGGUGACUUCACAUUUGGCCUCUAACGCAGCCACUUUGGAAGUAGAGAACAGAAGGGAUUGGCCGACUGGCCACAUGGGAGAGACCAAAGCAGGGCUGGGCGGGGAGGCUGUCUGUCCGGAGGGGCUGGGAGAGGGCCCGGAGCUCAGCGAGGUGGGGGGCGGACAGGACCAGGUGGCUGAUUGAUGCCAACAAGGUCCUCGCUGCAGAGGAAGAAGUGGCCCAGCGCCUUCUUGAUGCGAAGGAGCAGGCGUGCCUUGGGGGCACCGAGCUGCAGCAGCUAGAAGCCCAGCUGCAGAAGGCCGGCGAGGAGGACAGCCGUCUGAAGGCCAGCCUCCUAUAUCCUUUGCUGCGUGCGGCACGGCUGGGCCCCCCUCGGCCGGCGUCAGCCUGCGGGCAGCCCUCCCUCCACAGCAAGGCUCCUUAACCCCCUCACUCAGCUCACCAGGGAGCUGGAGGCGUGCAAGGAGGUCGAGGCCGAUCUGGAAACACGGGAGAGGGAAGUGGAUGAGGACACAACAGUCACCAUCCCUUCAGCUGUGUAUGUGGCUCAGCUUUAUCACCGAGUUAGUAAAAUUGAGUGGGAUUAUGAGUGUGAGCCAGGUGUGAUCAGGGGCAUCCAUCACGGCCCCCGUGUCGCCCAGCCCAUCCACCUGGACGGCAGCCAGCUCUCCAAAAAAUUCAUCAGCGACUAUCUCUGGAGCUUGGUGGACGUGGAGUGGUAGCCAGGGACCGCGUCUUGCGCUCAGCGGGAAUCGGCCAUGGGUGGUCGGUGCCUCAGCAGUGAGGUCAGCUUAAAAUUAAAUGUUUGUACAUAAAUG